rnacentral:rRNA from 1 species
GCCCAGACUCCUACGGGAGGCAGCAGUGGGGAAUAUUGCACAAUGGGGGAAACCCUGAUGCAGCGACGCCGCGUGAGCGAUGAAGUAUUUCGGUAUGUAAAGCUCUAUCAGUAGGGAAGAAGAUGACGGUACCUGACUAAGAAGCCCCGGCUAACUACGUGCCAGCAGCCGCGGUAAUACGUAGGGGGCAAGCGUUAUCCGGAUUUACUGGGUGUAAAGGGAGCGUAGACGGCGAUGCAAGCCAGAUGUGAAAGCCCGGGGCUCAACCCCGGGACUGCAUUUGGAACUGUGUGGCUGGAGUGUCGGAGAGGCAGGCGGAAUUCCUAGUGUAGCGGUGAAAUGCGUAGAUAUUAGGAGGAACACCAGUGGCGAAGGCGGCCUGCUGGACGAUGACUGACGUUGAGGCUCGAAAGCGUGGGGAGCAAACAGGAUUAGAUACCCGGGUAUA